GGCUCAGGACGAACGCUGGCGGCGUGCCUAAUACAUGCAAGUCGAGCGGGGUUAUGUAGAAGCUUGCUUCUACAUAACCUAGCGGCGGACGGGUGAGUAACACGUAGGCAACCUGCCCACAAGACAGGGAUAACUACCGGAAACGGUAGCUAAUACCCGAUACAUCCUUUUCCUGCAUGGGAGAAGGAGGAAAGACGGAGCAAUCUGUCACUUGUGGAUGGGCCUGCGGCGCAUUAGCUAGUUGGUGGGGUAAAGGCCUACCAAGGCGACGAUGCGUAGCCGACCUGAGAGGGUGAUCGGCCACACUGGGACUGAGACACGGCCCAGACUCCUACGGGAGGCAGCAGUAGGGAAUCUUCCGCAAUGGGCGAAAGCCUGACGGAGCAACGCCGCGUGAGUGAUGAAGGUUUUCGGAUCG
rnacentral:rRNA from 1 species